AACGAACGCUGGCGGCAUGCCUAACACAUGCCAGUCGAACGAGACCUUCGGGUCUAGUGGCUCACGGGUGCGUAACGCGUGGGAACCUGCCCUUAGGUUCGGAAUAACUCCCCGAAAGGGGUGCUACUACCGGAUAAUGUCUUCGGACCAAAGGUUUAUUGCCUUUGGAUGGGCCCGCGUUGGAUUAGCUAGUUGGUAGGGUAAAAGCCUACCAAGGCGACGAUCCAUAGCUGGGCUGAGAGAAUGGUCAGCCACACUGGGAGUGAGACACGGCCCGGACUCCUACGGGAGGGAGGAGUGGGGAAUACUGGAAAGUGGGGGAAAGGCUGAUCCAGCAAUGCCGCGAGAGUGAUGAAGGCCGUAGGGUUGUAAAGCUCUUUUACCCGGGAGGAUAAUGACAGUACCGGGAGAAUAAGCUCCGGCUAACUCCGUG
rnacentral:rRNA from 1 species